AUUGAACGCUGGCGGCAGGCCUAACACAUGCAAGUCGAGCGAGAGGCGGACGGGUGGGUGAUGUCUGGGAAAGUGAGUGAGGGAGGGGGACAACUACUGGAAACGGUAGCUAAUACCGCAUAACUGUAGAUGGGCCGAGAUGGGAUGAGCUAGUGGGUGGGGUAAUGGCUGACCUAGGCGACGAUCCCUAGCUGGUCUGAGAGGAUGACCAGCCACACUGGAACUGAGACACGGUCCAGACUCCUACGGGAGGCAGCAGUGGGGAAUAUUGCACAAUGGGCGAAAGCCUGAUCCAGCCAUGCCGCGUGUGUGAAGAAGGCCUUCGGGUUGUAAAGCACUUUCAGCUAGGAGGCGUUACUCGCAGAAGAAGCACCGGCUAACUCCGUGCCAGCAGCCGCGGUAAUUC
rnacentral:rRNA from 1 species